CCGACAUAAACAGAGGCUCCCAUUGGUGUGAGCGUCGUGACGUCACGCACUCUGCAGUGUUCUUUCACGUGAUCCCUACGGGCUCUUUCAAUGAAAGGGGCCGCGAGGCGUGGCCAGAACGCGUGCCCGGAGGGUGGUAGGUCACCGCGCUCCUAGCACCUGAGACCUGGGGCGCCCCUGGCCUGAGUGAACGCGCCAAUCACGGCUGCACUCUCCUGAACAGGGAACUGGCGGGGCGGGAAAAAUCGACUUGGUUCCGGGUUCGCAAGCGGAUUUACUUUGAAAAAAUUGGAUUUAUGACCCAGCAGUUCCCUUGGUGUCUAUCUCAGAGUAACCCUCGCACAAUGCAUAAAAAGGUUUGUGCACGGAUACUCCUAUAUAGGCUCACAAACAGUACAGAAUUAUGAACAAUGCUUGCAGUUGCAGAAAAUUGAAAUCAGUGGGGGAAUGAAGAAAUAAAUCAUGAAACAUUCCUACUAUGGAAUAUUAUGCAAUCGUGACAAGGGAUGAGGUGAUUCCAUAUGGCAAAAAAUCUCCCGAAGUGUGUAAUAAGUAAAAAAGAAAGUCAACAGGCAAAAUACCUUGAGCAUCCCAAAAAGCUGCUGCUAUGACUUCGGCUCUUGACCAGUCUACUUUUGAUUUGACUGGACCACUUGCACCUCUUGCAUAUAAGGACACAACCAGAAGACAUCAAUCUGCAAACCAGAAAGUGGGCUCUCAUCAGACACUGAGUCUGCUGACACCUUGAUCUUGGACUUCCCAGCCUCCAGAA
rnacentral:lncRNA from 10 species